UAUGUGAUCGUCUCUCGCAUAUCAAUAAGCGGAGGAAAAGAAACUAACAAGGAUUCCCCUAGUAACGGCGAGUGAAGCGGGAAGAGCUCAAAUUUGAAAUCUUAAAGGGUUUCCCUUUACGAAUUGUAGUUUAAAGAAGUGUUUUCUGUUGAGGUUUUGGUAAAAGUUCUUUGGAAUAGGACAUCAUAGAGGGUGAGAAUCCCGUAUUUGACCUUUACUUUCAACUUUGUGAUACACUUUCAAAGAGUCGGAUUGUUUGGGAAUGCAGUCCAAAAUGGGUGGUAAAUUUCAUCUAAAGCUAAAUAUUGGCGAGAGACCGAUAGCGAACAAGUACCGUGAGGGAAAGAUGAAAAGAACUUUGAAAAGAGAGUUAAACAGUACGUGAAAUUGUCAAAAGGGAAGCGUUUGACACCAGUGUUGUUUUUCUGAAAAUCAAUUAAAGAACUGUUUAUGCUAAGUUGUUUAGACUUUAUCAGCUAACUGUUUAGUUUUGAGCUUUUCUUUAAUGCACUUUUCAGUUAACAAGUCAACAUCAAUUUCUUUUGCUGUAAAAAAGCUUGAGGAAGGUGGCUUGAGAUUCGUCCUUAAGUGUUUAUAGCCUCUUGCCUAUGCAGUCGGAGAGAUUGAGGUCUGCAGCGUAGAUCCUUCGGGGCUAAAUGCAUUUGUGCUAAGUUAUAGCAUUUUAUAGACAACUUGUUGACUAUGAUUUGUCUUGUAGCUUACUCGCUUAUGUUAUUUUACCUACGCUUAGGAUGUUGAUCUGUAGUGCGUGCGC
rnacentral:rRNA from 1 species